rnacentral:rRNA from 1 species
UACGUAGGUGGCAAGCGUUGUCCGGAUUUACUGGGCGUAAAGAGCGCGCAGGCGGUCGUUCAAGUCGCGUGUGAAAGCCCCCGGCUCAACUGGGGAGGGUCACGCGAUACUGAUCGACUCGAAGGCAGGAGAGGGUAGUGGAAUUCCCGGUGUAGUGGUGAAAUGCGUAGAUAUCGGUAGGAACACCAGUGGCGAAGGCGACUACCUGGCCUGUUCUUGACGCUGAGGCGCGAAAGCUAGGGGAGCAAACGGG